rnacentral:rRNA from 1 species
CCGGCACGGGUGAGUAACACGUAUCCAACCUGCCGUCUACUCUUGGACAGCCUUCUGAAGGAAGAUUAAUACAAGAUGGCAUCAUGAGUCCGCAUGUUCACAUGAUUAAAGGUAUUCCGGUAGACGACGGGGAUGCGUCCCAUUAGAUAGUAGGCGGGGUAACGGCCCACCUAGUCUUCGAUGGAUAGGGGUUCUGAGAGGAAGGUCCCCCACAUUGGAACUGAGACACGGUCCAA